GCGGAAGGAUCAUUAACGAGUUUUGAAAUGGGUUGUAAGCUGGCCUUCAAAAACCGAAGGCAUGUGCACACCCUGCUCAUCCACUCUUCAACCUCUGUGCACUUAUUGUAGGAAGGUCGAAAAGUUGAGCUUCGCUGUUUAAUCGCGGCUUGAGGUUCCUUCGAAGCCUUCUUAUGUUUUAUUUUACAAACACUUCAGUUAUAGAAUGUCAAUUUGCGAAUAACGCAAUACAAUACAACUUUCAGCAACGGAUCUCUUGGCUCUCGCAUCGAUGAAGAACGCAGCGAAAUGCGAUAAGUAAUGUGAAUUGCAGAAUUCAGUGAAUCAUCGAAUCUUUGAACGCACCUUGCGCUCCCUGGUAUUCCGGGGAGCACGCCUGUUUGAGUGUCAUGGUAUUCUCAACCUUCAUAAUCUUUGUUUUUAAAAGUUAUUGAAGGCUUGGACUUGGAGGUUUGUGCUGGCUCUCUUAAUUGAAGUCGGCUCCUCUUAAAUGUAUUAGCGUGAACGUUUACGGAUCGCUAUCAGUGUGAUAAUUAUCUGCGCUGUUAGUGUUGAAGUAUCAUUUGGUGUCUCGCUUCUAACCGUCCUUUUGCAAGGACAAAAUUUACUUUGACAUCUGACCUCAAAUCAGGCGGGACUACCCGCUGAACUUAAGCAUAUCAAUAAGCGGAGGA
rnacentral:rRNA from 1 species